GGGGAUUUAGCUCAGUGGUAGAGCGCUUGCCUAGCAAGCACAAGGCCCUGGGUUCAGUCCCCAGCUCCU
rfam:Rattus norvegicus chromosome 11, whole genome shotgun sequence.